GCAAACUCCUUUAUAUCCGCGAUCGAGGAAGCAUCAGCAUCACGAAUGGAUUCGUCGAUCUUGUAAAGGAGCUUAUAUUUCGUCUGCUGCCUCAGCUUUACCAGAACUGAGCUAUUAGCGGACUGAAUCAUAACUUUUUGAGCAGUCUGAUUAGCGUAACCUGAAUCAGCUAAGGCUUUGAUGACAGCAUCCGUUACACUAAAUCCUAAUCUUUCUGAGAAGAAUGCUGCAUUCUCUAUGCUGAUCAAGACUCCGGACAGAGGUUUAUCUUUUGCAAAAGUCAAGAAAUCUGAUAACCUCGUAAAAUUUCCUGCAUUUGUAAACCGUGGGUUGCGCACCAAUUUGUACUCUGCUAGUUCUGGGUUUGACAUCAAUGGCUGCAAGUUCUUCAGCAUAUCUUCCCAAGUGAGA
rnacentral:misc_RNA from 1 species